rnacentral:rRNA from 1 species
AUACGUAGGGGGCGAGCGUUGUCCGGAAUGAUUGGGCGUAAAGGGCGCGUAGGCGGCGCGGUAAGUCUGGAGUGAAAGUCCUGCUUUCAAGGUGGGAAUUGCUUUGGAUACUGCAGUGCUAGAGUGCGGAAGAGGUAAGUGGAAUUCCCAGUGUAGCGGUGAAAUGCGUAGAGAUUGGGAGGAACACCAGUGGCGAAGGCGACUUACUGGGCCGUAACUGACGCUGAGGCGCGAAAGCGUGGGGAGCGAACAGGAUUAGAUACCCUGGUAGUCCACGCGGUAAACGAUGAAUGCUAGGUGUUACGGGUAUCGACCCCUGCAGUGCCGGAGUAAACACAAUAAGCAUUCCGCCUGGGGAGUACGGCCGCAAGGUUGAAACUCAAAGGAAUUGACGGGG